UAGUGUUAUAGCUCUUUUAUAAUUUGUCUGGCAGUUUUUCUGGCACUUGUCUGAAAUCCCCA
ensembl:snRNA U7 U7 small nuclear RNA